rnacentral:lncRNA from 1 species
GUUCUCUCCUGCAGACACCUGGUUCAUGUAAUUCACCCUCUUGUGGGAUAUUUUAAUGGGCUUUUCACAGUGCCGAAGAGAUUUGCCAAACUCAGCAAUCCGAGGCAGCAGAGAUUCGUCAUUGUGUUCACGAGGUGUUUGGUGGCCACUCGCCUGGGGAAUCUCCUCCAGCAGGUGAAAACAGAGCUGUCACCCUAGUCCUGGGAAUGGCUCUGCUGGAGCGCCUGCCAGCCCCCCAUCUCCCAGGGGCAUUCAGAACCCUGCAGGGGCUUCCUACCCAGGGCACAAAACACCUAUUUACGAGAACUAGAAAGAGAUGAAGGGGAAGGGCACUUGCAGCUCUGCUUAGGUUGCCAGGACCUGCGCUGUGGAGCAGGGAACAGGCCAGUAAGGAAGGCUGCGGCCCAGGGCAGGGUUGAUGUGUAGGCUAGAACCCACCUCAGAGAGCCAUGCCACCUUCUGUCCACCACGUCUCCCAAAAAACUGGCUCCACACCUGCUGGAGCACUCGCCUGAGGUCUGUGGGACUGGACGGGUGCACGGACCUCAGGAAGUUACCUGGGACCACGAGACAUUAAAGUACAGGAAAUAAAGAUUCUGAUGCAGAUGGUGACCCUCCUCCUGCAAACACCACAUCCCAGAGAGCCACUUCACAACCCAGGAGUCCAGUCCUUAUCCGCCCAGCCAAAAGGAGCUAUGGAAAGUAGAAAUGAAUGAGUGAGCCCAGUCAGCGUUUUGAAACAGUCGGUCACGGGCAUUUGCAAAGGUGAAGGGUGGAAACGACCCACCACUCACACAGAACUGUUCCAGGAUGCGUGAAGGCCCCCACAGCUGGGGUAGAGUGCGGUGGCUGAGCAGGUGGGGCUGAGAAGGUGGGGCUGUCGGGGAGGGCCAGUUUCCACGUGGCCCAUCUCCAGAGGAUGUGGAAGGCCUCAUUCACUCACGUAGCAUAUGAGAAGACGCUGACGCCAUUAGCCAGACCCAACUCAAAACACAAGGAAACUCCCUGCCACAGCCUCUGGGCUGCUGGGUCAUGAACAAGACGACGACCAACACGGGCAGGCUGGCGCCGGCAGGCCUGCAGGCAGUACUGGGGUGACUGUACAACCUGGGGCAGAAGGUCCAACACAGACCACACAACAGCAAAAACAAUUAUGUCACAAAUGUGUGAACGCUCACCCACCAUUAUUCAUCAAAGCCCCAGCCUGAAAACAAUCCAGGCCUGUCGAUGA